GACGAACGCUGGCGGCGUGCUUAACACAUGCAAGUCGAACGGAAAGGCCCUGCUUUUGUGGGGUGCUCGAGUGGCGAACGGGUGAGUAACACGUGAGUAACCUGCCCUUGACUUUGGGAUAACUUCAGGAAACUGGGGCUAAUACCGGAUAGGAGCUCCUGCUGCAUGGUGGGGGUUGGAAAGUUUCGGCGGUUGGGGAUGGACUCGCGGCUUAUCAGCUUGUUGGUGGGGUAGUGGCUUACCAAGGCUUUGACGGGUAGCCGGCCUGAGAGGGUGACCGGCCACAUUGGGACUGAGAUACGGCCCAGACUCCUACGGGAGGCAACAGCGGGGAAUAUUGCACAAUGGGCGGAAGCCUGAUGCAGCAACGCCGCGUGCGGGAUGACGGCCUUCGGGUUGUAAACCGCUUUCGCCUGUGACGAAGCGUGAGUGACGGUAAUGGGUAAAGAAGCACCGGCUAACUACGU
rnacentral:rRNA from 1 species